rnacentral:pre_miRNA from 1 species
UGGGAGAAUGACAAAUCAGAUUUUUUUCCUAAUUUUCAGGUUUUUCCUCUUGAAAAAAUUCAAAUCCAACUAAAAAUGCUAAAAAUUGGGUGGAAAAAUCUGAUUUGUCAUACAAUCCCU